rnacentral:rRNA from 1 species
AGAGUUUGAUCAUGGCUCAGGGUUAACGCGGGCGGCGUGCCUAACACAUGCAAGUCGAACGGUUCUAAGCGCGAGCUUAGGAUAGUGGCGAACGGGUGAGUAAAAGGUAGGAAUCUACCCCUUGGACGGAGAUAGCUACUGGAAACGGUAGGUAAACUUCGAUAAGCCCGAGAGGGGAAAGUGGUGAGACAGCCGAGGGAUGAGCCUACUCUCCAUCAGGUAGUUGGUGAGAUAAAAGCUUACCAAGCCGAUGACGGAUAACCGGUGUGAGAGCAUGAACGGUCACAAGGGCACUGAGAGACGGGCCCUACUCCUACGGGAGGCAGCAGUGGGGAAUCUUGGACAAUGGGCGAAAGCCUGAUCCAGCAACGCCGCGUGGAGGAAGAAGUCCUUCGGGAUGUAAACUUCUGAACUAGCCGAAUAAAAGGCCUGUGGACACACAGGAGAAGAAAGUAGGCUAGGAAAAGUCCCGGCUAACUACGUGCCAGCAGCCGCGGUAAGACGUAGGGGGCAAGCGUUACCCGGAAUUACUGGGCGUAAAGGGGGCGUAGGCGGUAAAAGAAGUCAUCUGUGAAAACCUAUUGCUCAACGAUAGGCUAGCGGAUGAAACUGAAUUACUUGAGGGCACCAGAGGUAGACGGAAUUACCCGAGUAGGGGUGAAAUCCGCAGAUACGGGUAGGAACGCCGGUGGAGAAGUCGGUCUACUGGGGUGCACCAGACGCUGAGGCCCGAAAGCUAGGGGAGCAAACCGGAUUAGAUACCCGGGUAGUCCUAGCCGUAAACGAUGCUCACUAGGUGUAGGGAGUGAUAAACUCUCUGUGCUGAAGCGAACGCGCUAAGUGAGCCGCCUGGGGAGUACGUCCGCAAGGAUGAAACUCAAAUGAAUUGACGG